CAGUUUAGAAUGAUGUUUAUUGUUUAUUGGCGUUUUCCACAAAGAAAUUUGCAGCUCUGACUAUUAUUUGGUUCAUUGUACUUAGCUGAUAUCAUAACUCUGUUAAAACCAUUGUGUGAUUCCUUAAAACAACUAUCACAAUUUAAAUGUUCUUAACUAUGCUACAUGUUCUUUUUUAUCUUUUUCCUCUAAUGCAGAAUUUCCUGUUGGUGAGUUAAGUUACAGGUCAGGUUUUGUUACAUGAACUGGUUCGGUUAUGUUAUUAUUGCUGUGUAAUUAAUUGGCUUUUAUUGUGCAGUUUUGGUUGAAUUGUUUGAAAAGUUUAUGAAGCUGUUGCGGUUCGGUUCGGAUUUUGUGGGUAGAUGGAGUUUUCUGCUACAAAUUUGUAUUGUGUGGAGCUGCAAGUAUUUUAUUGCAGGUCCUUAUAUUCAUCAUUAAUGUUUCUUCUUUUCAGAAAAGCGAUAAUCAUGACGACACUGAAAACGUGAAGAAGAUGUGAAAUCGAACCAGCAAAUACGGGAGAGUAUUGUUUCAAUGUGAAAGAUAAAACACUUAAGAGAUGAUUAAUUCCUACAUGGAGGAUUGUUAGUCAAAAUUGGCAGUAUAAGGUACCACCAUAAAGUUAUCUACCCCCGGGGUCUGUUAUUAUGGAUAAGGCUGUAGAAACACCUUUUAAAGUUGGUUCUUCAUCUGAUCCUUCUCAUGAGGUCCAGUCCUUAGAUAUAGAGGUCAAUGAUGACACAUUUAAAGGAUUAGCUUUUGUCGUUCUAUCAGACGAGACGGAAAAUGGUUCAAGAACAGUGGAUCAGAUUUUUGUAGUGAAUUUGGUGGGAAGAAGCAGAUACAAAAGGAUUUUUGUGAUGGCAAAGGUACAGCUAAGUUUUUGCUGGAUAAAAUAGCAGAAUUUGAAUGUGAGGCACAGAAGUCUGUUAAAAGCAAUGUGUGUGACUAACUUCAUUCCCACAUCCAACUGAAACCAAAACUGAAUUACAAGCUUGCUACUGCCUCUAAAUUGAUGUUAUGUUGUAUGUAUGAACAUUAGAGCAUUUAGCAGUGAUUGUCUCUAAAUUGACAUUAUGUUCUAAAUUUAUAUUGGAGCAUUU